UACGUGGGGGGCUAGCGUUGUCCGGAAUCAUUGGGCGUAAAGAGCGCGUAGGCGGCCAGAUAAGUCCGGUGUGAAAGUCAAAGGCUCAACCUUUGAAUGCCGCUGGAAACUGUCUGGCUAGAGUCCGGAAGGGGCGAGUGGAAUUCCUGGUGUAGCGGUGAAAUGCGCAGAUAUCAGGAGGAACACCAAUGGCGAAGGCAGCUCGCUGGAACGGUACUGACGCUGAGGCGCGAAAGCGUGGGGAGCGAACAGG
rnacentral:rRNA from 1 species